AGCUUUGCACAGUGGCAGCAUCAUAGCCAAUGAGGUUUAUUCGAGGCGUGAUUAUUGCUAAUUAAAAACUUUUCUCAAACUGUUUUGUUCCUUUCUGUUUGCCUUGUGAUUUUUUUUUUUUGAAAG
rnacentral:snRNA from 2 species